rnacentral:rRNA from 1 species
GAUGAACGCUGGCGGCGUGCCUAAUACAUGCAAGUCGAGCGAACGGACGAGAAGCUUGCUUCUCUGAUGUUAGCGGCGGACGGGUGAGUAACACGUGGAUAACCUACCUAUAAGACUGGGAUAACUUCGGGAAACCGGAGCUAAUACCGGAUAAUAUUUUGAACCGCAUGGUUCAAAAGUGAAAGACGGUCUUGCUGUCACUUAUAGAUGGAUCCGCGCUGCAUUAGCUAGUUGGUAAGGUAACGGCUUACCAAGGCAACGAUGCAUAGCCGACCUGAGAGGGUGAUCGGCCACACUGGAACUGAGACACGGUCCAGACUCCUACGGGAGGCAGCAGUAGGGAAUCUUCCGCAAUGGGCGAAAGCCUGACGGAGCAACGCCGCGUGGGUGAUGAAGGUCUUCGGAUCGUAAAACUCUGUUAUUAGGGAAGAACAUACGUGUAAGUAACUGUGCACAUCUUGACGGUACCUAAUCAGAAAGCCACGGCUAACUACGUG